rnacentral:rRNA from 1 species
AAUCAACGCUGGCGGCGUGCCUAACACAUGCAAGUCGAACGCGAAAAUUCCCUUCGGGAAUGAGUAGAGUGGCGUCCGGGUGAGUAACGCGUGGGUAAUCUACCUUCGGGUGGGGAAUAACCCAGGGAAACUUGGGCUAAUACCGCAUAAUAGCAGCGGCUCGACAUCGAGAUAGUUGUUAAAGCAGCAAUGCGCCUGAAGAAGAGCCUGCGUCUGAUUAGCUUUGNGGUAGGGUAACGGCCUACCAAGGCUGCGAUCAGUAGCUGGUCUGGAGAGGACGGCCCAGCCACAAUGGCACUGAAACACGGGGCCAUACUCCUACGGGGAGGCAGCAGUGGGGAAUUUUCCGCAAUGGGCGAAAGCCUGACGGAGUGACGCCGCGUGUGGGACGAAGGCC